CCGAAGUUUCCCUCAGGAUAGCUGGCGCUCUCGCUCUUCCCGACACACGCAGUUUUAUCCGGUAAAGCGAAUGAUUAGAGGUCUUGGGGCCGAAACGAUCUCAACCUAUUCACAAACUUUAAAUGGGUAAGAAGCCCGGCUCGCUGGCGUGGAGCUGGGCGUGGAAUGCGAGUGCCUAGUGGGCCACUUUUGGUAAGCAGCUGCGGGAUGAACCGAACGCCGGGUUAAGGCGCCCGACAACGACGCUCAUCAGACCCCAGAAAAGACCCCACUCUGUGCAGGGGAAAAUGAAAGCUCUGUAGCUCAGUUUGUUGGGUCCUCAGGAAUCCUAGG
rnacentral:ncRNA from 1 species